ACUCAAAGGAAUUGACGGGGACCCGCACAAGCGGUGGAGCGUGUUCUUUAAUUCGACGCUAAGCGAAGAACCUUACCAGGUCUUGACAUCCCUUGAAUCUCUGUGAAAGCAGAGAGUGCUUUAUUGAGCAAGGUGACAGGUGUUGCAUGGCCGUCGUCAGCUCGUGUCGUGAGAUGUUUGGUUAAGUCCAUUAACGAGCGCAACCCUUAUGAUUAGUUGGAUUUUUCUAAUCAGACUGCCUCGGUAACGGGGAGGAAGGAGGGGAUGAUGUCAGGUCAUUAUUACCCUUACGUCCUGGGCUAGAAACGCGCUACAAUGGCCGGUACAGAGGGCAGCCAACCCGUGAGGGGGAGCAAAUCCCAUCAAAGCCGGUCCCAGUUCGGAUUGCAGGCUGAAACUCGCCUGCAUGAAGCCGGAAUCGCUAGUAAUCGUGGGUCAGCACACCACGGUGAAUACGUUCCCGGGUCUUGCACACACCGCCCGU
rnacentral:rRNA from 1 species